UGGGAAUAUUGCACAAUGGGGGGAAACCCUGAUGCAGCGACGCCGCGUGAGUGAGGAAGUAUUUCGGUAUGUAAAACUCUAUCAGCAGGGAAGAUAAUGACGGUACCUGACUAAGAAGCACCGGCUAAAUACGUGCCAGCAGCCGCGGUAAUACGUAUGGUGCAAGCGUUAUCCGGAUUUACUGGGUGUAAAGGGUGCGUAGGUGGUAUGGCAAGUCAGAAGUGAAAGGCUGGGGCUUAACCCCGGGACUGCUUUUGAAACUGUCAAACUAGAGUACAGGAGAGGAAAGCGGAAUUCCUAGUGUAGCGGUGAGAUGCGUAGAUAUUAGGAGGA
rnacentral:rRNA from 1 species